GACGAACGCUGGCGGCGUGCUUAACACAUGCAAGUCGAACGGAAAGGCCCUGCUUGCAGGGUACUCGAGUGGCGAACGGGUGAGUGACACGUGGGUGAUCUGCCCUGCACUUCGGGAUAAGCCUGGGAAACUGGGUCUAAUACCGGAUAGGAGCCAUUUUUAGUGUGAUGGUUGGAAAGUUUUUUCGGUGUAGGAUGAGCUCGCGGCCUAUCAGCUUGUUGGUGGGGUAAUGGCCUACCAAGGCGGCGACGGGUAGCCGGCCUGAGAGGGUGGACGGCCACAUUGGGACUGAGAUACGGCCCAGACUCCUACGGGAGGCAGCAGUGGGGAAUAUUGCACAAUGGGCGCAAGCCUGAUGCAGCGACGCCGCGUGGGGGAUGACGGCCUUCGGGUUGUAAACUCCUUUCGCUAGGGACGAAGCUGUUUGUGACGGUACCUAGAUAAGAAGCACCGGCUAACUACGUG
rnacentral:rRNA from 1 species